AGAGUUUGAUCAUGGCUCAGAUUGAACGCUGGCGGCAGGCCUAACACAUGCAAGUCGAACGGUAACAGGAAGAAGCCUGCUUCUUUGCUGACGAGUGGCGGACGGGUGAGUAAUGUCUGGGAAACUGCCUGAUGGAGGGGGAUAACUACUGGAAACGGUAGCUAAUACCGCAUAACGUCGCAAGACCAAAGAGGGGGACCUUCGGGCCUCUUGCCAUCGGAUGUGCCCAGAUGGGAUUAGCUAGUAGGUGGGGUAACGGCUCACCUAGGCGACGAUCCCUAGCUGGUCUGAGAGGAUGACCAGCCACACUGGAACUGAGACACGGUCCAGACUCCUACGGGAGGCAGCAGUGGGGAAUAUUGCACAAUGGGCGCAAGCCUGAUGCAGCCAUGCCGCGUGUAUGAAGAAGGCCUUCGGGUUGUAAAGUACUUUCAGCGGGGAGGAAGGGAGUAAAGUUAAUACCUUUGCACAUUGACGUUACCCGCAGAAGAAGCACCGGCUAACUCCGUGCCAGCAGCCGCGGCAAUACGGAGGGUGCAAGCGUUAAUCGGAAUUACUGGGCGUAAAGCGCACGCAGGCGGUUUGUUAAGUCAGAUGUGAAAUCCCCGGGCUCAACCUGGGAACUGCAUCUGAUACUGGCAAGCUUGAGUCUCGUAGAGGGGGGUAGAAUUCCAGGUGUAGCGGUGAAAUGCGUAGAGAUCUGGAGGAAUACCGGUGGCGAAGGCGGCCCCCUGGACGAAGACUGACGCUCAGGUGCGAAAGCGUGGGGAGCAAACAGGAUUAGAUACACUGGUAGUCCACGCCGUAAACGAUGUCGACUUGGAGGUUGUGCCCUUGAGGCGUGGCUUCCGGAGCUAACGCGUUAAGUCGACCGCCUGGGGAGUACGGCCGCAAGGUUAAAACUCAAAUGAAUUGACGGGGGCCCGCACAAGCGGUGGAGCAUGUGGUUUAAUUCGAUGCAACGCGAAGAACCUUACCUGGUCUUGACAUCCACGGAAGUUUUCAGAGAUGAGAAUGUGCCUUCGGGAACCGUGAGACAGGUGCUGCAUGGCUGUCGUCAGCUCGUGUUGUGAAAUGUUGGGUUAAGUCCCGCAACGAGCGCAACCCUUAUCCUUUGUUGCCAGUGUCCGGCCGGGAACUCAAAGGAGACUGCCAGUGAUAAACUGGAGGAAGGUGGGGAUGACGUCAAGUCAUCAUGGCCCUUACGACCAGGGCUACACACGUGCUACAAUGGCGCAUACAAAGAGAAGCGACCUCGCGAGAGCAAGCGGACCUCAUAAAGUGCGUCGUAGUCCGGAUUGGAGUCUGCAACUCGACUCCAUGAAGUCGGAAUCGCUAGUAAUCGUGGAUCAGAAUGCCACGGUGAAUACGUUCCCGGGCCUUGUACACACCGCCCGUCACCAUGGGAGUGGGUUGCAAAAGAAGUAGGUAGCUUAACCUUCGGGAGGGCGCUUACCACUUUGUGAUUCAUGACUGGGGUGAAGUCGUAACAAGGUA
rnacentral:rRNA from 1 species